rnacentral:rRNA from 1 species
AACGAACGCUGGCGGCGCGUUUUAAGCAUGCAAGUCGAACGGGAUUGAGGGAGCUUGCUCCUUCAUGAGAGUGGCGAACGGGUGAGUAACACGUAGAUGAUCUGCCUUGAGGUUGGGGAUAGCUCAUGGAAACAUGGGGUAAUACCGAAUAAGUUGCACAAUGUAAAGGUUGUGUAGGAAAGGGGCUUAGGCCUCGCCUUAUAGAUGAGUCUGCGUCUUAUUAGUAGUUGGUGGGGUAACGGCCUACCAAGACGACGAUAAGUAGCCGGCCUGAGAGGGUGACCGGCCACACUGGAACUGAGACACGGUCCAGACUCCUACGGGAGGCAGCAGCUAAGAAUCUUCCGCAAUGGGCGCAAGCCUGACGGAGCGACGCCGCGUGUGUGAUGAAGGCCGUGAGGUUGUAAAGC